GCCAUAUUGAUUUGAUUUAAGCUCCUCUAGCCGGCGCAGUGCAGUAUCCAGGCUCUUAAUCCUAUACAGUACACAGAGAGAGAAGGGUAUAUAAACAGGAGGAGAGGAGGAUAAUCAUUCAGAAUAAGAAGAUCAUUGUAACAGUUCAUAGGCAAAGCUAACUAUAUAGCGCUAGUAAACACAGAUUCUACAAGAAUAUAAAACAAGAUUGAUACUAAAUUGCAAGAUGUCUGCCGCUCUACAAUUUUCUGCCGGUAAACUGAUGGCCGCCUACGGGGCUCUUACCGCUGCGGCGGUUCUUCCAGGUUACAUGCAAAUGCAGGGAAUCAAGGAUAGGCAAGAAUCGGCGAUAUCGUCAGGACGGCCGACAAUCGUCGGUAACUUCAAACAUCAUAUGCCGACACAGAACCGAGUCAAAGAAUUUAGAAGAAAUGAAUAAUAUUUGAAGUUUAAGAAAAAAAAAUCCAACCAAAUGACAACAAUGCAUCAGUAUGUUAAAUCGUAAUAUCAUAUCUAAACCUUUAUAUUACUGGUAUUAUUUAUGUAAAAUAUAAUAUUUUAAUAUUUU